rnacentral:rRNA from 1 species
GAUGAACGCUAGCUACAGGCUUAACACAUGCAAGUCGAGGGGCAGCAUGACGAUAGCUUGCUAUUGUUGAUGGCGACCGGCGCACGGGUGAGUAACGCGUAUCCAACCUGCCCUUGUCCACCGGAUAACCCGUCGAAAGGCGGACUAACACGGUAUGCAGUCCACAGCAGACAUCUAACGUGGACGAAAUGUGAAGGAGAAGGAUGGGGAUGCGGCUGAUUAGCUUGUUGGCGGGGUAACGGCCCACCAAGGCGACGAUCAGUAGGGGAUCUGAGAGGAAGGUCCCCCACAUUGGAACUGAGACACGGUCCAAACUCCUACGGGAGGCAGCAGUGGGGAAGAUUGGUCAAUGGGCGAGAGCCUGAACCAGCCAAGUAGCGCGCAGGAAGACGGCCCUAUGGGUUGUAAACUGCUUUUAUACGGCGAUAAAGUGAGUCACGUGUGGCUUAUUGCAGGUACCGUAUGAAUAAGGACCGGCUAAUUCCGUGCCAGCCGCCGCCGUAA